rnacentral:lncRNA from 1 species
AGCACGGGUCUGACCUGACACCAUCCUGCCUCCCCAUUCUAUCCCCUGCUUCAGUUCUCCAAGAGAACAGGAUGAAUAGCAGGAUACCCUCUUCCUCCAGCCAGCCCCAUCUUCGAGGGUGGCCUGCCUGCCACAUCAGGCCCUGCGAGCCCACGGUCCUAUCUCCAUCCUCCUCGAGCAAGUCUCCCAUUGAUUCCUGGGGACUCAGAGGCGCCCCCCAAAAGUCCAAGGAGAGGGACACGCCUCUAGAACCCCACAAAUUCCGUGCUAAACUUUUCAGAUGCAGCAGGACUCCGGGGCAGUUACGCUAGCGCUCUCUGAGCCCGAACGGAUCAAGUUCGCGAGCGGACCAAGGGCAGACCCGGGGGGCCCAGAGCUGCGACGGACACCCCAGCCCGUGUGCACACGGGAGAGGUUUUGUUACCCGCCGGGCAGGCCGAAGUGGGUGUGUCUGGCCAUCGCAAGCCCCACACAAGCCUCCGAACGACCAAGAGAUGAAUGGGUCGGCCGAAUGGGCCGAAUGCGCGCGCUCCUGCCCCGCGCGCCUCGCCCCGGCGGCCGC